GCCGGGUAACAGUCAGCAACACCUCUCUGUUUUCUGAGUCUUCAUCAAGUAUCAGGCCACUUUGUACUUCUGGAAUGAAUCCCAAAAUGCCAUUCUGGAGAUCACUUCCUGUGUCUUAAGUGUCUGGCUGCAUUUGGGAUCACUCCUGUUACUGAGGCAGAAGAAUAAAGGACCCUCGGAUUUUCCACCUAAGACCUGUCACGCACUUUUCUUCCCUGCCGACCUGUUGCAAUCAUUGCCUGUCCUCACAGGCAUGGGUGGAGCAACAUGACAAUCAACAUGCAUACCCAGGGAACUGGUUACUUCCAUGUAGGACAGUGACUGAAAGAAAAACUCUUCCUUGUUGACUGAGUAUGCUAAUUCCUGUCCUCUAUUCCCAGAAUCAGAGGAUGACUACACUGCAGGUAAAAGGACAAGCACACCACACAGUUGGGAGUUCUGUUGGAGUUGUUGCAGGAUUCAAAAGCCAUGUGGCCCAGAAGAAAAACUCUGGAUUAAAACUCUCCAUCAGGACCCACUCCUUUCUUCACCUCGCCUUAAAGGUUUCUCCAGCUCAGGAAGGCCUGAGGGGUGACCCUCAUCAAUAGCAAGCUCCAGCCGCAAGCACUGGAGCUUGGGGCGUGCCCGGACUUGUCCCCACGUGCUCAGCCAUGACCACAGGUACUGAAUAGCGUCUCUGGGGAGAAAACAUCACAGGUGCCGCUAUUUGGUUUAGCAGCUGAGGCCAGACAGACCAAGGCAGUCCAGUUUAGUAAUAUUGGUAAAUUCCAAUAGUACCUCAAGUGGCAA